CCUACGGGGGGCAGCAGUGAGGAAUAUUGGUCAAUGGCCGGAAGGCUGCACCAGCCAAGCCGCGUGAAGGACGAAGGUGCCAAGCAUUGUAAACUUCUUUUGUCAAGGGACAAUAUCAGGCUCGAGAGCCUGACCGAGGGUACUUGAAGAAAAAGCAUCGUCUAACUCCGUGCCAGCAGCCGCGGUAAUACGGAGGAUGCGAGCGUUAACCGUAUUUAGUGGGUUUAAAGGGUGCGUAGGCGGACUGUUAAGUCAGCGGUAAAAGCCCGGGGCUAAACCCCGGCUAGCCGUUGAAACUGGCUGUCUUGAGAUGUCGAGAGGUAUGCGGAAUGCGCAGUGUAGCGGUGAAAUGCUUAGAGAUUGCGCAGAACUCCGAUUGCGAAGGCAGCAUACCGGCGGCGAUCUGACGCUGAGGCACGAAAGCGUGGGUAUCGAACAGGAUUAGAUACCCUAGUAGUC
rnacentral:rRNA from 1 species